UACGAAGGGGGCGAGCGUUGUUCGGAUUUACUGGGCGUAAAGGGCGCGCAGGCGGCGCAUUUUGUCAGGCGUGAAAGCCCCGGGCUUAACCUGGGAACUGCGUUUGAUACGGAUGGGCUAGAGUUCGGGAGAGGAGAGUGGAAUUCCUGGUGUAGCGGUGAAAUGCGCAGAUAUCAGGAGGAACACCGGUGGCGAAGGCGGUUCUCUGGGCCUGUACUGACGCUGAGGAACGAAAGCGUGGGGAGCGAACAGG
rnacentral:rRNA from 1 species